CACGUAGGGCGCAAGCGUUGUCCGGAAUUAUUGGGCGUAAAGAGCUCGUAGGUGGUUUGUUACGUCUGCUGUGAAAACCUAGGGCUUAACCCUGGGCUUGCAGUGGAUACGGGCAGACUAGAGGUAGGUAGGGGAGAAUGGAAUUCCUGGUGUAGCGGUGAAAUGCGCAGAUAUCAGGAGGAACACCGGUGGCGAAGGCGGUUCUCUGGGCCUUACCUUACACUGAGGAGCGAAAGCGUGGGGAGCGAACAGG
rnacentral:rRNA from 1 species